ensembl:lncRNA
UGACUUUAUGAUUUGCUUGAUUGGAUCAUAUCAGGUUUUAUUUAAAUGGAUCUGUCAUUUUGAUCUGAUCUGACUUGAUUUGACUUGUUUUGUUGACUAUAUUUGAAUUGACCUAAUUUGAUUUGAUCCAUUUUUACUUGAUCCAUUUAACUUAACUUCGUAAUUUUAUCUGAUUCAAAUUGUUUUCACUUUGUUGUAAGUUAUUUAAUCCAGUUGGACUUAAUUUCAAUUAAUUUGAUAGUAUGGAUCUAAUCAAAUGUGACGUGACUUGUUUGACGUGAACGCUGUCCUCGUCGGUGUGGCUCUGGUCAGGGAGCCUGUCAGAGGUUUGGGUGGAUCUGGAGGGAUAGCAUGAUAGUUACUCCCUCACAGUGAAGCUCAUCUCUGUCAGAAGUUAAAAAGAAUGCAGACAGCAUGUGGUGGUAGUUCAUGUCUCUAUGCGACCACCAGACAGUGGAGUCAACAGUGACACAGACCAGAGUUCAGGGAGUUAAAACUGAGAGGAAAAUGUAGAUAAUAAAUGAGACAAAGAUUCUGACAAAAAGGUGAGUUUCAUAGAUGCUGAUUCUAUAUUUCUCAUGCUGCUGGUCUGCUGAUUGAUGUUUUAAGAUGCUGUGAGCUGCCAAAUUUGCCCCCUAAGAAAUAAUAUUGUGCCCUUAAGAAAAAUCUAGACUAGUUUCUGCCGCGUUGUUGUUUUUCUUUCAGCGCUGAUGUUGGAUGAAUUCAGGACCCAAAAGGAGCAAAAGAGAUGAGACACAGCAAGGAUGCAUUGCCAUCCCCUAAACCCCAAGCAAUUUGAAUAAGAAACAUAGACUAGAAAAAAAAAAUCUAAAAAAAGAGUUGAGUGACAGCCCAGGAUGAGAGAAGAAAUGAUGGAAACAGAUCCAAGACCAGCACAUGACAUGUCUGACAGCUCAACUAAUGCAAGAGCUCUAUCCAAAAAGAAGGAUCAGAUCAGGACAAGGAACCACAUGAGAGGCAGCAGCAGGAUGUGAAUCCACAUUAUGAGAAAUGAAGAAAAACGUAUUAUAGUGGUGUGAAAGCAUUAGAAGGAUUGGAGGUCACCACUGUGAGGUGACGGCACUAACCAGAGCAUCUAAGAUUUUCUUUUUACUUAUAAAAUCUAAGAAAACAAAGAAACAGUGAGAGGAACUCCAGUAUGACCUAAGAUUGAAGAAUCACCCCCGAGAUGAGACGACGAACCGCUCUGAGAUGAGAUGAUGAACAGCCCCAAACAGAACAAGAAUAGGUGAAGUUCUGGCAGCCGGAGCUGUUGGUAUUUUACAAUAAAGACCUCAUUUGUGGAGGCUGUAAAAUGUAAAUCUUUAACUUUAUUUGUAAUUAUAGAGCCUUUAUUUUUUGAAGUGUAGGUAACACCUGUGUGACAAUUAUUGUAAUUAUAAAUAUGUGAAGUACACAAAAGACAUUAUUGAGUUUUCUUUAUUUUCUGGUUAUGGCUGUACUGUUUCCAUACAGGUGCAUUACUGUAUGUUGCAGUGUUCUUGUUAUCAUUAUUUGUGCAUUAAUGCUACAUAUUGUAAUAUAAAUGCUCUACUGUAUAACACAUAAGCACAUAGGAGGACUGAUCCAAACCAUCAAGGCUCUAUGAUGGAUUCUUGUACUUUGUUUUACAAAACCUCCAAUUUGUGCAAUUAACACCGGAAUUCAGAGAGAUUGUGCAUUCAAUCCUUAAAUCUACAAUUAGAAAUGAGUGACUGCAUCUGAGAAAUGUUAUCUAGAAGCACCCAACACUGUUCUGUCAUGUGUUUAGCUGCAUCUUCAGUCUCUGCACAUCUGUCUGCUGAUCAUGUUUAGUUAAUACAGUGCAGCAGCGCCCUCUGGAGAUCAGCAGCUGUAGUACAGAAACAUCUGGCCUCAGUAAGCAUGCCAGGCUGGAAGAAACUUAAGUCAAGGCCUGGUUUGGAAAUGGG